AUUUAAACAUGUUGGUUUCAAGGAGGUAGUUGGCUCUCUUGAAUUAGAGAUGUCUUCCAAUAAAUAUUAAGAUUUAAUCAUUCAAGGAGGUAGUUGGCUCUCUUAAAUUGGAGAUGCCGUCCAAUAAAUAUUGAGAUUUAAUGAAGUUAAAGCAGCUUCCGGUCAAGAAAAACUUUAACUUUUAGAGUUAUUGGUCUCGAGUGCACGUCGGGAUGUGAAUCUCACAUGGUGCUGCUCCUGCGUCUCUCUGUCCAACAUCUCCAAUUACCUCUCCAUUAGCAUGGCCGACCCUGAGGAUUUGUGAUGAAAACUUGGAAGCAUCAGGUGGAAACAAAUGGAUUCCACCAAUGGGUGGCACCCACGACGUUGAUGUUGCUUAAAGACUUUAUGUUUGUAAUCUGUAAAGAAUAUUCAUCUUUAACUCGUGGAUGGAUUUUUUAAGUCAAGAGUAUUAUGUUUUAGUCAUUACUAGCAAUUGAGCCCCGCACGAUACCGCGGGUUUUAUGAUCGUUUAAAAUGAUAUUAUUUUACAUA